rnacentral:rRNA from 1 species
UAGGGAAUCUUCCGCAAUGGACGCAAGUCUGACGGAGCAACGCCGCGUGAGUGAAGAAGGUUUUCGGAUCGUAAAACUCUGUUGUAAGAGAAGAACAAAUUGUAGAGUAACUGCUACAGUCUUGACGGUAUCUUACCAGAAAGCCACGGCUAACUACGUGCCAGCAGCCGCGGUAAUACGUAGGUGGCAAGCGUUGUCCGGAUUUAUUGGGCGUAAAGGGGGCGCAGGCUGCUUCUUAAGUCUGAUGUGAAAGCCCACGGCUUAACCGUGGAAGUGCAUUGGAAACUGGGAAGCUUGAGUACAGAAGAGGCAAGUGGAACUCCAUGUGUAGCGGUGGAAUGCGUAGAUAUAUGGAAGAACACCAGUGGCGAAAGCGACUUUCUGGUCUGUCACUGACGCUGAGGCCCGAAAGCGUGGGUAGCAAACAGG